rnacentral:lncRNA from 1 species
GCGAGUCCUGUGGCGCGGGGGAGGGGCGGGCGUCUCCUGGACUUGCUUCCACCCGGCUUAAUCCCGCCCGGGGCGGCUCCAACUCCACUGUCGCGCUGUUCUCGGACCAAACUGAGAGUGGGGCGGCUAUUUCUCGGGGCCCAAUGACGAGAUGCAGAUGAACUGAGGAGGAAGAGCGUUUUUAUUUUCUGCAACUGGUUACAGGGAGAAAGGCCUGGAAAUGAUCACCGGACCAACUCAAAAUUACAGUUUUCCAGAACUUACAUACCUUCUAAGCGGUAUGUCUACGUGGCCUUGCUGUGUCACCCAGGCUGGAGUGCAGUGGUGUGAUCAUAGCUCACUGUGAGGCAGGAAAUUAAGGAAAGAAAGAAUAAUAAAAUUUUAAAAAGAGAAAAAUAAGCUUUCUAUAUUAGGCUGACUCAUCCCAAAGGCAGUAACAGACAAAGCCCAGACCCAGACGAAGUCUUGAUAACAUCAUCAAAGAAGCAGAGGCUCAAAGGAGUGUGCUCUGGAGACUCUCCCAGCACUCCCUCAACAUAAGGAUAAGAAAAAGUUCCCCCUCGAACCCCAACCCCCUCCAUGUGAUUGUACCUUGCUCUGCAAGUUUUAUGAAUUUAUAGAUUCUUGUUUUCUGUAACUAGAAACUUCAAGUAUUCUGUUUUAUCUAAGCAGCACAGUGAAGGUUAUACAACAUGCCUGAGCAGGCCUGGGCUGCGGCCUUCUGGGCCCCAUAGCGAAGGUUAUGAGAUAAGCCUGUGCAAGGCUCUUUUAAGCAAGCCUAGAUAACAGCCAUCUGGACUGCAUAGCAAGAAUUACAUGUAACCCUGGGUUAUGCACCUGUCACAAUUUGAUUAACUGCCUAUGUUCUGUCUCUGUAUCCUUGCUUUCAUGCCACUGUAAGCUUGUUUCAAACUAGCCCACUCCCGUUCAAAGGUGUGUAUAUGAGUCAAGUGCUGUCUUUGUUCUGGGCCCAGUUUUUGGAUGUUAAUCCACUGGGUCUGAGUGCACUCAAUAAAAUUCUCAUGUCCCACCUACCUGUCUCUCCAGUCUCCUGAUUCCCACAACAACCGCAGCCUGUAGCUGGGACUACAGCUACAUUCUUUAAAUUUUGUAGAGAUGGGGUCUUGCUAUGUUGCUCAUGCUGGUCUCCUACUUCUAGCCUCAAGUGAUACUCCCACCUCAGCCUUCCAAAGUGCUGUGAUUACAGGCGUGAGCCACCAUGCUGGGGCACUUCACCCAGCCUUCUUGCUAGUUCUUGAUUUCAAGGGUGAAGGGGCAGGUU